rnacentral:rRNA from 1 species
UACGGAGGGGGCUAGCGUUGUUCGGAAUUACUGGGCGUAAAGCGCACGUAGGCGGCUUUGUAAGUUAGAGGUAAAAGCCCAGGGCUUAACCCUGGAAUUGCCUUUAAGACUGCAUCGCUAGAAUCGUGGAGAGGUGAGUGGAAUUCCGAGUGUAGAGGUGAAAUGCGUAGAUAUAGGAAGGAACACCAGUGGCGAAGGCGACCACCUGGACUGAUACUGACACUGAGGUGCGAAAGCGUGGGGAGCAAACAGG